rnacentral:rRNA from 1 species
UACGUAGGGUGCAAGCGUUGUCCGGAAUUAUUGGGCGUAAAGAGCUCGUAGGCGGUUUGUUGCGUCGGCUGUGAAAUCCCGAGGCUCAACCUCGGGUCUGCAGUCGAUACGAGCAAACUAGAGUGUUGCAGGGGAGACUGGAAUUCCUGGUGUAGCGGUGAAAUGCGCAGAUAUCAGGAGGAACACCGGGUGGCGAAGGCGGGUCUCUGG